rnacentral:lncRNA from 1 species
CCAGCAGUGGACUCAAACUCAUGACCUAAUCCGAUUAGGUUAGCCCAAAGGCAUCAAUCAAUUAGAAUAUUUUCUAAUUAAUUCUCGAAUUAAACUCCUUUAAUUCUUACAAGUCUACAAGUCAAGAUUGAUGUCUAGCAACAUAUCAUGACUACCCAGAAGAUAUAAAAUUUGAUAAAAAUAUCAUAAUUAUUCUUCCAUGGUGAGUUAUCG